rnacentral:rRNA from 1 species
AGUAAUGCCUAGGAAUCUGCCUGGUAGUGGGGGACGAACGUUUCGAAAGGAACGCUAAUACCGCAUACGUCCUACGGGAGAAAGCAGGGACCUUCGGGCCUUGCGCUAUCAGAUGAGCCUAGGUCGGAUUAGCUAGUUGGUGAGGUAAUGGCUCACCAAGGCGACGAUCCGUAACUGGUCUGAGAGGAUGAUCAGUCACACUGGAACUGAGACACGGUCCAGACUCCUACGGGAGGCAGCAGC